CACGAACGCUGGCGGCAUGCCUAACACAUGCAAGUCGAACGAGAUCUUCGGGUCUAGUGGCGCACGGGUGCGUAACGCGUGGGAAUCUGCCCUUUGGUUCGGAAUAACAGUUGGAAACGACUGCUAAUACCGGAUGAUGACGAAAGUCCAAAGAUUUAUCGCCAGAGGAUGAGCCCGCGUAGGAUUAGCUAGUUGGUGUGGUAAAGGCGCACCAAGGCGACGAUCCUUAGCUGGUCUGAGAGGAUGAUCAGCCACACUGGGACUGAGACACGGCCCAGACUCCUACGGGAGGCAGCAGUGGGGAAUAUUGGACAAUGGGCGGAAGCUUGAUCCAGCAAUGCCGCGUGAGUGAUGAAGGCCUUAGGGUUGUAAAGCUCUUUUACCCGGGAUGAUAAUGACAGUACCGGGAGAAUAAGCUCCGGCUAACUCCGUGCCAGCCGCCGCCGUAA
rnacentral:rRNA from 1 species